AGGGCGGAGGGAGAAGAGGUGGAGGAGACCAGGGAUGGGGAGGGACGGGGGGAGCGCCGGCGCCGGCGCCGACGUGCUCCGUGGAAUAGUUCGAUCGCUUCCUUUCUUGCUGCUCCUCUCAUCUCCCCUGUAGGCCCUCCUUCUCUCGCAGUUCGAGCGCUUGCUUUGUUGCUGCUCCUCAUAUCCAUCGGCAUAGAACCUGCAGGCCAGUAGGUGGAUUGGAUUUGAGGGAUAAAGACAGCAAUGGCAGCCCUAUCGCCCUUCUGCGUACCGGACCACGGGCACGCACCUGGUGCUCACACGUACAUCUGUGCUUGCAAGCUCGGAAAUGCUUGAGUGCAGUUUCACAGGUUGAAUCGAUGUCAAUACAGGAGAUGCACACGAUGUGCUCGAUGAAUUGAUUAUGAGAGAUGACUACUGGUUUUCCUCCCCAUGUUUCUUGCAGUGUCGAGUGCCACCAGGUUCAAGCAAAGCUACCGGGCGUUCAGCUCUCUUCCUCACGGUAAUGGCAAAGAAGAUCAGAUGAUCCCCUGCCAAUUCAUUUGUUCAAGGUUGAUUUCUGCUUCUGCAUCUCGUCCAUUUCGCUUGUCUCUGCUAACAAGUUCAACUCGAAUGCCCAAGGAGGAGACUCAGAGAGAAGCGAUUAGUACGCCUCUCACCUCCUUUGCUUAAUUAUUUCUAAUGCUGGAACAAGUCAUACAAAAAAAAUGCUCAAAGCACAUACAUUGGCCACCGUACUACCCAUUUCUUCCAAGUUAUGUGAAAUAGCUAUGUGUGUCAUUUGUGGUAAGCUUACCUAUUAUUGGCCAUUGUUCUACCCAUUCAGGUAAGCUUACCUAUUAUUCGUGUUGUAGCUCUGAUUGAUUCAAGUUCUGAAGAUGAUAGUGCCAACAGCUGACAGUAUCAUCAGGCGUGGAGGGCAAGCGAUUCUGAUCUGUCAUUUGUGUCAAGCAAGGGAUGAAUCGGCAAGGCACCUUAUGGCCAAGUGCUCAUAUGGAGAACAAGUGUGGAACAUGGGUAGCGGCACGAAUCAACUGGUGAUCCCCCAACGUAAUGAUGUGCGCACCAAAUCAAAGAAUGGUGGGCUGGAACGACUACUGCAAACAACCUGCAAUCACGCUUGCAAGUCAUCAUAUACACAGCAUAGAUUCUACAGGUAGGAGCAGGGUUAAUCGACUGACUAUGUAUAGAUAGAUUGUACUUUUGUGCAUAAUCUUCUUUUCUCUAGCUUACCCAAAUUGUAAAUACUUUGCUUCCUACUAUAAUGAAAGAGCAGAGCACCUGUUCUUUUCCUAAAAAAAAA